GGACCCGCACAAGCGGUGGAGCAUGUGGUUUAAUUCGACGCAACGCGAAGAACCUUACCUGGUCUUGACAUCCUGCGAACUUUCUAGAGAUAGAUUGGUGCCUUCGGGAACGCAGUGACAGGUGCUGCAUGGCUGUCGUCAGCUCGUGUCGUGAGAUGUUGGGUUAAGUCCCGUAACGAGCGCAACCCUUGUCCUUAGUUGCCAGCACAUUAUGGUGGGAACUCAUGGGAUACUGCCGGGGUCAACUCGGAGGAAGGUGGGGACGACGUCAAAUCAUCACGGCCCUUACGUCCUGGGCCACACACGUGCUACAAUGGUAGGUACAGAGGGAAGCCACCCCGCGAGGGGAGGCGGA
rnacentral:rRNA from 1 species